rnacentral:misc_RNA from 1 species
AAGUCGUAACAAGGUCUCCGUUGGUGAACCAGCGGAGGGAUCAUUACAGAGUUACUAAACUCCCAAACCCAUGUGAACUUACCUAUGUUGCCUCGGCGGCUACCUACCCUGUAGCUACCCUGUAGUUACCCGGUAGCGGCCGCCGGUGGACCUCCAAACUCUUGUUUUAAUAUGGUUAUUCUGAGUUAUUACUAUAAUAAGUCAAAACUUUCAACAACGGAUCUCUUGGUUCUG